AAUUAGGGAGGCGAGGCACAGGAAGGGGAAAAUGCAGGCGAGAAAAGGCGAGGUUUUCUCGCCUGCAUUUUCCCCUUCCCGCGCCUCGCCUCCCUAAUUUCC
rnacentral:miRNA from 1 species